CCCUUAGAUGUUCUGGGCUGCACGCGCGCUACACUGAUGCGCUCAACGAGUUUUAACCUUGCCUGGAAAGGUUGGGUAAUCUUUUUAAAACGCAUCGUGAUGGGGAUAGAUUAUUGCAAUUAUUAAUCUUCAACGAGGAAUUCCUAGUAAGCGCGAGUCAUCAGCUCGUGCUGAUUACGUCCCUGCGCUUUGUACACACCACCCGUCGCUCCUACCGAUUGAGUGAUCCGGUGAAUAAUUCGGACUGCGGCAUUGACCGGUUCCCGAUCGUUGCUGCGGAAAGUUUAGUGAACCUUAUCACUUAGAGGAAGGAGAAGUCGUAACA
rnacentral:rRNA from 1 species